UACGGAGGGUGCGAGCGUUGUCCGGAUUUAUUGGGCGUAAAGAGCUCGUAGGCGGCUUGUCGCGUCGACUGUGAAAUCCCGCGGCUCAACUGCGGGUCUGCAGUCGAUACGGGCAGGCUAGAGUUCGGUAGGGGAGAACGGAAUUCCUGGUGUAGCGGUGAAAUGCGCAGAUAUCAGGAGGAACACCGGUGGCGAAGGCGGCUCUCUGGGCCUUACCUGACGCUGAGGAGCGAAAGCGUGGGGAGCGAACAGG
rnacentral:rRNA from 1 species